rnacentral:rRNA from 1 species
UGGGGAAUAUUGCACAAUGGGCGCAAGCCUGAUGCAGCCAUGCCGCGUGUGUGAAGAAGGCCUUCGGGUUGUAAAGCACUUUCAGCGAGGAGGAAGGUGGUGAACUUAAUACGUUCAUCAAUUGACGUUACUCGCAGAAGAAGCACCGGCUAACUCCGUGCCAGCAGCCGCGGUAAUACGGAGGGUGCAAGCGUUAAUCGGAAUUACUGGGCGUAAAGCGCACGCAGGCGGUUUGUUAAGUCAGAUGUGAAAUCCCCGGGCUCAACCUGGGAACUGCAUUUGAAACUGGCAAGCUAGAGUCUCGUAGAGGGGGGUAGAAUUCCAGGUGUAGCGGUGAAAUGCGUAGAGAUCUGGAGGAAUACCGGUGGCGAAGGCGGCCCCCUGGACGAAGACUGACGCUCAGGUGCGAAAGCGUGGGGCAGCAAACAGGAUUAGAUACCCUGGUAGUCCACGCUGUAAACGAUGUCGAUUUGGAGGUUGUGCCCUUGAGGCGUGGCUUCCGGAGCUAACGCGUUAAAUCGACCGCCUGGGGAGUACGGCCGCAAGGUU